GGCCCUCUUGCCCACAUGUAAAGCAAGCAUUUGAUCUAGGCUGAGGGUUUAACCCCUGUGGAGGCAGGGCCUCCGCUGUUCCCAGUUCUUGCUUUCGCCCCCUCCUUUUGUUAGCGAACUCUGCGUUGAUCCCACU